GCUUUUUGGAGAAGCAUCUCAUCAAACAAAGCGUCAACCUUGGUUAAAUCGAAAGAAUAGACCUUGUUCUGUGUUGGUUUGUUCGGAACAAAUCCUCCUGUAAAUGGUGGGGGCUUCUGAUCCUUUGGUGGUUUUGUCAGAGCUUUGCAGAUGAUAGUCUGUUUUAAUUUUACCAUUUCUGCCACUGCAACUUCCCUCUCUUAUGAGCUUUCUGUACCUUCUUCUGUCUCGACUUCAACCAAAUGUACUGAGAAAGAUGGUGUCUUGUAAUACGUGCCUUUUGAGGAAUUUCUCUUCUGUUGUUCUUCCCUGAGCAACUCCUCAUAUUUAGAAGCCUUGUCUGCCAAUUCUGCCAAAUCAUCAAAUAACAUCAAAUCUC
rnacentral:lncRNA from 1 species